CACGUAGGGGGCGAGCGUUGUCCGGAUUUAUUGGGCGUAAAGAGCUCGUAGGCGGCUUAGCAAGUCGGCUGUGAAAUCCCGGGGCUCAACCCCGGAAUUGCGGUCGAAACUGCUAUGGCUAGGGUCCGGUAGAGGAGAGUGGAAUUCCCGGUGUAGCGGUGAAAUGCGCAGAUAUCGGGAGGAACACCAGCAGCGAAGGCGGCUCUCUGGGCCGGUACCGACGCUGAGGAGCGAAAGCGUGGGGAGCAAACAGG
rnacentral:misc_RNA from 1 species